GGAGGGCAAGGGGAAGGACUUCCAGUGGCAAAGGUUAGGGGUUAAGGGGCAGGACAUCAAGUCCCAAUAUGGCAAUCAGGGGCGGGGCAACUGUCAAGGGGUGGGGCUACCCAUGUCGACCUUGACAGCUCACC